UACGUAGGGUGCGAGCGUUAAUCGGAAUUAUUGGGCGUAAAGGGUGCGUAGGCGGUUUGAUAAGUCUGAUGUGAAAUCUAUGGGCUCAACCCAUAGCCUGCAUUAGAAACUGUCGGGCUUGAGUAUGGGAGAGGUGAGUGGAAUUUCCGGUGUAGCGGUGAAAUGCGUAGAUAUCGGAAGGAACACCUGUGGCGAAAGCGGCUCACUGGACCAUUACUGACGCUGAUGCACGAAAGCUAGGGGAGCAAACAGG
rnacentral:rRNA from 1 species